rnacentral:lncRNA from 1 species
AGUCUCACUAGGCUGGUUGGAGAGGAAGAGGAAAGGUCCAGAGAUGACAGGCACAUGGAGAGACAGGCCCCAGUGGAGGUGAGCAGACCGGACCAAUGGCCUCUCCCAGCACCUCCAUAACAGCUGGAACAUUCAAAGCAGUUCCAUCACCCUAAAUAUUCACUUGUGCGUCCUCUUUGGAGUCAGCCACACCUUGUCUACCAGUCCCUGGCAACCGCCAAUGAUGAAUUGAAUUCUACAAUGACAGUGAGGCUAUGUGCACCUCUCCCACCGACCUAUGUGUCCUUUUGCCCUGUGUGGAGCGGAUGAGUACACACAAUUCACUCAGGGAGAAGGAGAAACAGCGGGACUUUAGAAACUUCUUUCAGACCCCUGCUUCUGCAGCCUUAUCCACCAAGGCCACGCCCUCAGCGCAGGGGUUCUCAGAGCAGUCAGGCACGUGUUCAAAGGGCCUCAUUAGGAAGUAGAGGCUGGCUUUGAACCUGAAGUCUUCUGGCCCCAACCUCUUGAGCCCCUGUUAGGAUUACAGGAGCACACCUGCCCUGGCUCCCUCUGGUAUUUUAAUUGAGACUAAAUUCCACUGGAACUGCUUAUGGAUAGAGGGCGGCUUGACAUUCUCUUAAGAGUGCCGAGCUGUUUUUUACCCAAGUAAAAAGUCUUUCUUUGC